UACGUAGGAUGCAAGCGUUUGUCCGGAAUUAUUGGGCGUAAAGAGCGCGCAGGCGGUAUGACAAGUCAGAUGUGAAAGAGGCCGGCUUAACCGGCAAGGGUCAUUUGAAACUGUCAGACUAGAGUGCAGCAGAGGAUAGUGGAAUUCCCGGUGUAGUGGUGAAAUGCGUAGAUAUCGGGAGGAACACCAGUGGCGAAGGCGACUAUCUGGGCUGCAACUGACGCUGAGGCGCGAAGGCUAGGGUAGCAAACAGG
rnacentral:rRNA from 1 species